rnacentral:RNase_P_RNA from 1 species
CGAGACAGCCGGGUGAUCGCGGCGCGUGGAACCAGCCGUUUAGUGCGGAAAGGCCAGGCGCGGAGGAAAGUCCGGACUCCAUAGGGCGCGGUGGUUGCUAACGGCAACCCGGGGUGACCCGCGGGCUAGUGCCACAGAAAACAAACCGCCUGGCGCCUUCGGGCGUGCGGGUAAGGGUGAAAAGGUGCGGUAAGAGCGCACCAGCACCUCAGGUGACUGGGGUGGCUUGGUAAACCCCACCGGGAGCAAGGUCAAGUGUUUGCACUGCAGUCUUCGGGUUGAUAGUGCGAGCGAGUUCGAGGGCGGCCCGCCCGUGUGAUGAUAGGUAGACCGCUUGAGGCCACCAGCGAUGGUCGGCACAGAUGGAUGAUCGCCUCGUCCACGUCUUCCCCUCGGGGAGGGGGUGGAUAGACAGAAUCCGGCUCAUAGGCUGUCUCGACCU